GAUGAACGCUGGCGGCGUGCCUAAUACAUGCGAGUCGAGCGAACAGACGAGGAGCUUGCUCCUCUGACGUUAGCGGCGGACGGGUGAGUAACACGUGGAUAACCUACCUAUAAGACUGGGAUAACUUCGGGAAACCGGCGCUAAUACCGGAUAAUAUAUUGAACCGCAUGGUUCAAUAGUGAAAGACGGUUUUGCUGUCACUUAUAGAUGGAUCCGCGCCGCAUUAGCUAGUUGGUAAGGUAACGGCUUACCAAGGCGACGAUGCGUAGCCGACCUGAGAGGGUGAUCGGCCACACUGGAACUGAGACACGGUCCAGACUCCUACGGUAGGCAGCAGUAGGGAAUCUUCCGCAAUGGGCGAAAGCCGGACGGAGCAACGCCGCGGGAGUGAUGAAGGUCUUCGGAUCGGAAAACUCUGUUAUUAGGGAAGAACAAAUGUGUAAGUAACUAUGCACGUCUUGACGGUACCUAAUCAGAAAGCCACGGCUAACUACGUG
rnacentral:rRNA from 1 species